AUUGAACGCUGGCGGCAGGCUUAACACAUGCAAGUCGAGCGAGCGGCGGACGGGCGAGUAAUGUCUGGGAAACUGCCUGAUGGAGGGGGAUAACUACUGGAAACGGUAGCUAAUACCGCAUACCAUGAGAUGUGACCAGAUGGGAUUAGCUAGUAGGUGGGGUAAUGGCUCACCUAGGCGACGAUCCCUAGCUGGUCUGAGAGGAUGACCAGCCACACUGGAACUGAGACACGGUCCAGACUCCUACGGGAGGCAGCAGUAGGGAAUAUUGCACAAUGGGCGCAAGCCUGAUGCAGCCAUGCCGCGUGUAUGAAGAAGGCCUUCGGGUUGUAAAGUACUUUCAGCGGGGAGGCGUUACCCACCGAGAAAGCACCGGCUAACUCCGUGCCAGCAGCCGCGGUAAUUC
rnacentral:rRNA from 1 species